GGUAGCUCUGAUACCACUGUUGGGUUCCAAUGAUGUAGCGAAAAAUAGUUUUCAAACUUUUUACAUGCAUUUAAUAAUUGAAAAUAAGUUUUAACAAUUGAAACAUGCUAACUAGAACACAAACCCUAAGAACACCUUGAUGAUAAUAGUCAAACAAUUCAAGUAUGCAAUGAGACAGAAGUUAUACCUUCUUAAAGAUGAGGAUCUGGUAAUACAAUAAUCUUUACAAGAUGCUAAAGUACAUGCCCUCCAAUGGUGAUCCAUACAGGAC
rnacentral:lncRNA from 1 species